UACGUAGGGUGCGAGCGUUGUCCGGAAUUAUUGGGCGUAAAGAGCUCGUAGGCGGUGUGUCACGUCGGCCGUGAAAACCUGGGGCUUAACUCUGGGCGUGCGGUCGAUACGGGCAUCACUAGAGUUCGGCAGGGGAGACUGGAAUUCCUGGUGUAGCGGUGAAAUGCGCAGAUAUCAGGAGGAACACCGGUGGCGAAGGCGGGUCUCUGGGCCAAUACUGACGCUGAGGAGCGAAAGCGUGGGGAGCGAACAGG
rnacentral:rRNA from 1 species